rnacentral:rRNA from 1 species
UACGUAGGGGGCUAGCGUUGUCCGGAAUCAUUGGGCGUAAAGCGCGUGUAGGCGGUCCGGUAAGUCCGCUGUGAAAGUCGGGGGCUCAACCCUCGAAUGCCGGUGGAUACUGUCGGGCUAGAGUGCGGAAGAGGCGAGUGGAAUUCCUGGUGUAGCGGUGAAAUGCGCAGAUAUCAGGAGGAACACCUAUUGCGAAGGCAGCUCGCUGGGACGUAACUGACGCUGAGACACGAAAGCGUGGGUAGCAAACAGG